GACGAACGCUGGCGGCGUGCUUAACACAUGCAAGUCGAACGGAAAGGCCCUGCUUUUGUGGGGUGCUCGAGUGGCGAACGGGUGAGUAACACGUGAGUAACCUGCCCUUGACUUUGGGAUAACUUCAGGAAACUGGGGCUAAUACCGGAUAGGAGCUCCUGCUGCAUGGUGGGGGUUGGAAAGUUUCGGCGGUUGGGGAUGGACUCGCGGCUUAUCAGCUUGUUGGUGGGGUAGUGGCUUACCAAGGCUUUGACGGGUAGCCGGCCUGAGAGGGUGACCGGCGACAUUGGGACUGAGAUACGGCCCAGACUCCUACGGGAGGCAGCAGUGGGGAAUAUUGCACAAUGGGCGGAGGCCUGAUGCAGCAACGCCGCGUGCGGGAUGACGGCCUUCGGGUUGUAAACCGCUUUCGCCUGUGACGAAGCGUGGGUGACGGUAAUGGGUAAAGAAGCACCGGCUAACUACGUG
rnacentral:rRNA from 1 species